UGCAGAGGCCCUGGGCUGACAGAGGCCUGGAAUCCGGGUGAGGAUUUUCUCAUUCUACAAGAAUCUAAGUGAUGACGACUAAGAAUCAGAACCAAUCGGAAUGUGUAAAUACUCCCACCAUGGCUGAUUUCAAGCUACCAGUGUGACAUCACUGAACAUCACAAUACUAUUAUAUAGGAUUUCCACCACCGUUGAGACCACUAUAAACACUGAUGAAGCAGAUUUGAAAAAGAACCAAAUCAAUUUAUAAUAAUUGAAAUAAAAUAUUCAAUGGAUGACCAUGAAGAAAUAGACAAAUCCAGAAUGUGGAACA